CACGUGAGAAUCAAGUCCGAGAAGAACCAAAAGCGGUAUUGUCGUGAGGCCACCUCUUUUCCACUCUUCUAGAGAUACCGUACCGUCGGCGUCGUAAUCUAUUUCUAUCAUCAUGUCUUGGAGGAUCUGUCGGUUGAUUCCGUAACGUCCCAUCCAAGAUACUCAGCGACGUUCAUCAUUUGGUUGACGAUACAGUCCAUCUCCUGUGACAUAAAGAAUACGGAUGACAAAAUGCAUUCGCUACGAUAAACAAACGAUAAUCCUAUCUAUGUACAAGCAUAUAUUCCGCAAGUAUAGACCAUCUGAGGAAGCCAUGUGGAGUAAUGGCGACACCCGUCGGAAACAUGUGUGUCUGGCUUACGGCAGAUCAUUAAACGCGUCCAAAAUUACUACUGCUUUCGCAAUAACGACUUGGAGCUUUCAGACGUGAGUCAGUAUAAUAUAGUGAGGGGAGCUGGGGUCCUGGAAGAGGAAGAGGAGGACAGUCGAUGGAGUACGUAGAAGAAAAAAUGGCAAUCCACAAAGAACACAAGAUUCAUCCCAUAAUUGAUUUGAUCCACGCGAAUUCACACGAGUCACGGUCUUCCAGCCUCUAGUAAGGACAAGUAACACACGAUAUCCUUAAGGCUGACCUUCACCGAAUGAACGUCUAUGGUACUCUGCUUUCUCACGAGGUGCCUCAUUUCUGUAAGGAUAAGAGGAGAUCAACUAU